UACACUGACGCGUUUUACCUUAUUAACAGGCUUUCUCAAAGUGUACAAAGUAUACAAAGUGUUCUUUUGAGAAAGCCUGUCAAUAAGGUGAAAUGCGUUAGUGUG